rnacentral:rRNA from 1 species
UUGACCUCAAAUCAGGUAGGACUACCCGCUGAACUUAAGCAUAUCAAUAAGCGGAGGAAAAGAAACUAACAAGGAUUCCCCUAGUAACUGCGAGUGAAGCGGGAAAAGCUCAAAUUUGAAAUCUGGCAGUCUU